rnacentral:tRNA from 1 species
AAUAAAGUGUCUGAUAAAAGAAUUAUUUUGAUAGAAUAGGGCAUGUAAAAAUUUUACCUUUAUUA